rnacentral:rRNA from 1 species
CUCUGUGACUCCUACGGGAGGCAGCAGUGAGGAAUAUGGUCAAUGGAGGGAACUCUGAACCAGCCAUCCCGCGUGUAGGAAGACGGCCUUAUGGGUUGUAAACUACUUUUAUACAGGAAGAAACGUACCCUCGUGAGGGUGCCUGACGGUACUGUAGGAAUAAGCACCGGCUAACUCCGUGCCAGCAGCCGCGGUAAUACGGAGGGUGCGAGCGUUAUCCGGAUUUAUUGGGUUUAAAGGGUCCGUAGGCGGAUUAAUAAGUCAGUGGUGAAAUCCCAUCGCUUAACGAUGGAACUGCCAUUGAUACUGUUAGUCUUGAAUGAGGGUGCAGUGGUUGGAAUGUGUAGUGUAGCGGUGAAAUGCAUAGAUAUUACACAGAACACCGAUUGCGAAGGCAGAUCACUAACCCUAAAUUGACGCUGAGGGACGAAAGCGUGGGGAGCGAACAGGAUUAGAUACCCUGGUAG